AAACACAUGAAACAUCAUGUAAGCAAACACUAAUAUUUAUUAGUUUCGUGAAUUCAAUAGUAAAAAAAAUAUAUACUGUUUUAUAGGUAACGUUAGGUAACAUCUAGGUAAUUACUGUGCAUUAUUUUCGUGCUUUAUUUUUGCUUUAUUUAGAACUAUACGGCCUAGCUUAGUACAAACAGGGGACGACACCUAGCUCGGCUCUGUCAAAGAUGCUUUCCAAAAACAACUUGUGUAAAUCACAUAUACAGGAAAAGAAAUGUUGUCAGGGUGCUUUUCAAUGGUUUAUUGAGCAACAGCCGCGCACCAUCUUCGAAGUCCUCAGUGGGAAAUUAACAGCAACUCCCUCUUGAGAAGGACAGCACUUUUGUCAGCUCUUCAUAUUCUGCCAACGUUGUUAUCUAAAGACCCCGACAUCCCAGUGGUUGACAUUACAUCAGCACAUGGCAUUGAAGGAUGAAAAGAUGCCUCCUGGCUUGGACUUGUUGGAGGUCCUCCAGGACCUAGCAGGAAACCACAGGAAUGAUGUGCUGAGGGGUUCUUGUCAUCUGGGACUCCUUUGAUCAGCGGAUCAUUUGGUAGCAGUCCCUCAACAAAAGCGAUGGUUUCUGCACAGUUUGUACCCACCUGUUGUUCAGAGGAAGGAUGAAAACAAGUGUGAGUGUCUUCUCACGGGCAUAAGUAUGACUUGCAUGCUGAACACACGUGCAUUAUGCAUUAAUCUCCACUGACUGUUUUCCAACACAGGAAGCACAGAUAAUAUUUAAAGAUUGUUCACAAUUAAUGCCAAGAAAACGUGACGUUCUGUCGUUAAAGAUAGUUUGCUUACUGGUGUCCUCGGUGUGCUAACUUCCUUCUUCAACUGUUCCAGCUCCAUUUUCAAGAUUUCCUUAUCUGACAUAUCCCGAGCCAUCCUGGCUGUGAGAGGAAAGGAUGAAAUGUCAAAUCAAAUGCCUAAAAGUGUGCUCUUGUGAUUUUCCUCAAAGUGCUAGAACUUUCUACUCUUACAUUCAUUCUGUAAAAUCUUUCAGUUUUAAAAAGACUCCUUCAACAAAACAAAUGUCAAUCCAACACAAAUAAAUGCCUUAAUGAUCAUUAGUUUUUACCUGUUGAAUGGCGGGAUCCCCAACAAUCUGAGAAAAGUGUUGGCUCCUAAGAGCUCAUCGACUGUAUGGCUUCCUCCGGUCCGAUCGCCGCUUCUUCACACUGACUGAUCCCUCCUGUCCCACUGCUCUUCAUCCCAGCUGAUCCCUGGGGAGGUCGGCACAGGAUUGGACCUGAUGUCACCAAUCCCCCGUGAUGAGAUUAAAUAAUCAGGAGCCGUGACCUCCUGAUCAGGAAGGAGGAAGGGAAGGGAACGCAGGUCCUUACAGAUCUGGAGACAACAUGGUGGAGAAAGUGAAACACUUGGCUAGAAGUGACCGACGUGAACGUCACAUCAUUUGUUACUAACUGCAGACUGUGAUAUCGAAUUCCCACUGUAUGAGCUGUGGUGGGCUUCAGUAUGUCAACUAGGAGAAAAAGGAAUAUCAGCUGCAAAAUUGUUCUUAAGCGGUAAGAGUUGGGUUCAUGACAUUACAGGAGCUGCUGCCAAGAGGAAAGAGGCCAAAUCUUCACCACUGAUUUGAUUAUACACUUUAAUCGUGCAGUCUAUCCAAUCAGGCCCUCUAAGUCUUACGUCAUGUAUAUAAACCUAAACAGUAGGGGUACGCAGGAGGCUACAAUCACCUAAAGUUUUUUUUUUUUUUUUAUUUACAGCUGCUGCUUUGUUUCUGUUUUAACAACUGUACAGAGACAUGUAUGAUACACAUAUACUUGUGUGGUAAUAUAUUUUAACAUGA